rnacentral:rRNA from 1 species
CCCGCUGAACUUAAGCAUAUCAGUUAGCGGAGGAAAAGAAACUAAACAGGAUUCCCCUAGUAACGGCGAGUGAAAAGGGAUGAGCCCAGCGCUGAAUCUCUCGGUCUAAGGCCGCUGAGAACUGUAGCGUAUAGGUUUGACUGUCUGUUUGCUAUGUAUUCUCCAAGUUCCUUUGAUAGGGGCUAGUUCAGUCCCGAGAGGGUGCUAGACCUGUGCGAGAAUUGUAGUGAGCAGUUGGUUGUUCCUUGGAGUCGUGUUGCUUGAAAGUGCAGCAUAAAGUAGGUGAUAGACUUCAUCUAAGGCUAAAUAUAACCAUGAAUUCGAUAGCUAACAAGUACCACGAGGGAAAGUUGCAAAGAACUUUGAAGAGAGAGUUCAAGAGAACGUGAAAUCGCUGGAGUAUGCGGAGAGAGUUGACGUAACCCGGUAGCUAAGUUGUUCUUCGGAGCGAUGGUGCUGCUUAUGGUUGCAUUGGUGGCGUUGGUUAGCAACGACAGCUGCGUAGUUUAGCCCACUUCGGUGGUGUCUAGCUUGUGGUCUUGUUGUUGUCGGCUAGCGUGUAAGUCCUGUUCACAGGGUGCCAAUGUCCUAGUCGACCACCUCUCUGACCCGUCUUGAAACAC